GUUGUAUGGUUAAGUGACUAAGCGUACAUGGUGGAUGCCUUGGCAGUCAGAGGCGAUGAAGGACGUACUAACCUGCGAUAAGCCGUGAGCAGUCGGUAAGAGACAUUACGACUCACGGAUUUCCGAAUGGGGAAACCCACUUAGCAUAAGCUAGGUAUCGCUACGUGAAUACAUAGCGUAGCGAGGCGAACCGGGAGAACUGAAACAUCUAAGUACCCGAGGAAAAGAAAUCAACCGAGAUUCCCUCAGUAGCGGCGAGCGAACGGGGAUUAGCCCUUAAGCAUCUUGGAAGUUAGUGGAACGGUCCUGGAAAGGCCGGCGAUACAGGGUGAUAGCCCCGUACACGAAAACAACCUUGAUGUGAAAUCGAGUAGGGCGGGACACGUGACAUCCUGUCUGAAUAUGGGGGGACCAUCCUCCAAGGCUAAAUACUCCUGACUGACCGAUAGUGAACCAGUACCGUGAGGGAAAGGCGAAAAGAACCCCUGUGAGGGGAGUGAAAUAGAACCUGAAACCGUGUACGUACAAGCAGUGGGAGCCCUUCGGGUGACUGCGUACCUUUUGUAUAAUGGGUCAGCGACUUACAUUUUGUAGCGAGGUUAACCGUAUAGGGGAGCCGUAGGGAAACCGAGUCUUAACUGGGCGUCUAGUUGCAAGGUGUAGACCCGAAACCGGGUGAUCUAGCCAUGGGCAGGUUGAAGGUUGAGUAACAUCAACUGGAGGACCGAACCCACUAACGUUGCAAAGUUAGGGGAUGACCUGUGGCUGGGGGUGAAAGGCCAAUCAAACUCGGAGAUAGCUGGUUCUCCCCGAAAGCUAUUUAGGUAGCGCCUCGGACGAAUACUACUGGGGGUAGAGCACUGUUUGGGCUAGGGGGUCAUCCCGACUUACCAACCCCAUGCAAACUCCGAAUACCAGUAAGUAAUAUCCGGGAGACACACGGCGGGUGCUAACGUCCGUCGUGAAGAGGGAAACAACCCAGACCGCCGGCUAAGGUCCCAAAGUUCUGGUUAAGUGGGAAACGAUGUGGGAAGGCUCAGACAGCUAGGAUGUUGGCUUAGAAGCAGCCAUCAUUUAAAGAAAGCGUAAUAGCUCACUAGUCGAGUCGGCCUGCGCGGAAGAUGUAACGGGGCUCAAACCAGGCACCGAAGCCGCGGAUUCACGCUAAGCGUGAGUGGUAGGGGAGCGUUCUGUAAGUCUGCGAAGGUGUGUCGAGAGGCAUGCUGGAGAUAUCAGAAGUGCGAAUGCUGACGUAAGUAACGAUAAAGGGGGUGAAAAGCCUCCUCGCCGGAAGACCAAGGGUUCCUGUCCAACGUUAAUCGGGGCAGGGUGAGUCGACCCCUAAGGCGAGGCCGAAAGGCGUAGUCGAUGGGAAGCAGGUUAAUAUUCCUGCACGACUUGUAAUUGCGAUGGGGGACGGAGAAGGCUAGGUGGGCCAGGCGACGGUUGUCCUGGUGAAAGUGCGUAGGUGGUGUUUCUAGGCAAAUCCGGAGACACAACACUGAGACACGAGACGAACACACUACGGUGUGGAAGCCAUUGAUGCCCUGCUUCCAGGAAAAGCCUCUAAGCUUCAGAUUACAAGUCAUCGUACCCCAAACCGACACAGGUGGUCGGGUAGAGAAUACCAAGGCGCUUGAGAGAACUCGGGUGAAGGAACUAGGCAAAAUAGAACCGUAACUUCGGGAGAAGGUUCGCUCUUGACAGUGAAGUCCCUUGCGGAUGGAGCAGUUGGGAGUCGCAGUGACCAGAUGGCUGGGACUGUUUAUCAAAAACACAGCACUCUGCAAACACGAAAGUGGACGUAUAGGGUGUGACACCUGCCCGGUGCCGGAAGGUUAAUUGAUGGGGUUAGCGCAAGCGAAGCUCUUGAUCGAAGCCCCGGUAAACGGCGGCCGUAACUAUAACGGUCCUAAGGUAGCGAAAUUCCUUGUCGGGUAAGUUCCGACCUGCACGAAUGGUGUAACCAUGGCCAUGCUGUCUCCACCCGAGACUCAGUGAAAUCGAAUUCGCCGUGAAGAUGCGGUGUACCCGCGGCUAGACGGAAAGACCCCGUGAACCUUUACUACAGCUUGGCACUGAACAUUGAACCUACAUGUGUAGGAUAGGUGGGAGGCUUUGAAGGCGUGACGCCAGUUGCGCUGGAGCCGUCCUUGAAAUACCACCCUUGUAUGUUUGAUGUUCUAACGCAGGCCCGUGAAUCCGGGUCGCGGACAGUGCCUGGUGGGUAGUUUGACUGGGGCGGUCUCCUCCCAAAGAGUAACGGAGGAGCACGAAGGUUGGCUAAUCCUGGUCGGACAUCAGGAGGUUAGUGCAAUGGCAUAAGCCAGCUUAACUGCGAGACGGACAGGUCGAGCAGGUACGAAAGUAGGUCAUAGUGAUCCGGUGGUUCUGAAUGGAAGGGCCAUCGCUCAACGGAUAAAAGGUACUCCGGGGAUAACAGGCUGAUACCGCCCAAGAGUUCAUAUCGACGGCGGUGUUUGGCACCUCGAUGUCGGCUCAUCACAUCCUGGGGCUGAAGUCGGUCCCAAGGGUAUGGCUGUUCGCCAUUUAAAGUGGUACGCGAGCUGGGUUCAGAACGUCGUGAGACAGUUCGGUCCCUAUCUGCCGUGGGCGUUGGAUGAUUGAAGGGAGUUGCUCCUAGUACGAGAGGACCGGAGUGAACGAACCUCUGGUGUUCGGGUUGUCACGCCAGUGGCACUGCCCGGUAGCUAAGUUCGGAAUCGAUAACCGCUGAAAGCAUCUAAGCGGGAAGCGAGCCCUGAGAUGAGUCAUCCCUGACCCUUGAGGGUCCUAAAGGGCCGUUGGAGACCACAACGUUGAUAGGUGGGGUGUGUAAGCGCGGCGACGUGUUGAGCUAACCCAUACUAAUUACCCGUGAGGCUUAACCAUACAACACCCAAGAAGUGUU
rnacentral:rRNA from 1 species